AGCAGCCGCGGUAAUACAGAGGGUGCGAGCGUUAAUCGGAUUUACUGGGCGUAAAACGUGCGUAGGCGGCUUUUUAAGUCGGAUGUGAAAUCCCUGAGCUUAACUUAGGAAUUGCAUUCGAUACUGGGAAGCUAGAGUAUGGGAGAGGAUGGUAGAAUUCCAGGUGUAGCGGUGAAAUGCGUAGAGAUCUGGAGGAAUACCGAUGGCGAAGGCAGCCAUCUGGCCUAAUACUGACGCUGAGGUACGAAAGCAUGGGGAGCAAACAGGAUUAGAUACCCCGGUAGUCCCUGUCUCUUAUACC
rnacentral:rRNA from 1 species